GUCGAGAGGGUGAGCAAUACAAUACUCGUAAGAGGAAUAACUCCAGCCUAUCUUUGUUGGGCUUUUGAGCCUCUCGAUAUCCAUGU
rnacentral:ncRNA from 1 species